rnacentral:tmRNA from 1 species
GGGGCUGCAUUGGUUUCGACGUGGGUUGGAAUCGCAGCGGUGCAUGUCGAGCUCAGUGCGCUCGUAAAACUGACUGAACCAAAGUAACUGCAAACGACGAACGUUUCGCACUCGCCGCCUAAACACCGGUGAGCCUCGCAACAGCAGGCCGAUGGGCUGGGCAAGGGUGGCGCAAGCCGUCCAGGCUGCGAGGGCAUUCACAUCGGCUGGCCCGUCCCCGGGUGCCUUGGGGCCGAGCGAGAUUCAAGGGCACUGGCGGCUCCGGUAGCGUGCGUCUGCGCGACCGUAGCGGCGAGACUCAAAUCAGCACGCUAAACAUGUAGAUCUGCGCGAGGAAGGUUUGCGGACGCGGGUUCAAAUCCCGCCAGCUCCACCA